rnacentral:rRNA from 1 species
AUACGGGGGAUGCGAGCGUUAUCCGGAUUUAUUGGGUUUAAAGGGUGCGUAGGCUGUGCGUUAAGUCAGGGGUGAAAUGCCGUCGCUCAACGACGGAGCUGCCCUUGAUACUGGCGUGCUGGAGUACGGAUGCCGUUGGAGGAAUGAGUGGUGUAGCGGUGAAAUGCUUAGAUAUCACUCAGAACACCGAUUGCGAAGGCAUCUGACGAAUCCGUCACUGACGCUGAGGCACGAAAGCGUGGGGAUAGAACAGGAUUAGAUACCCUGGUAUUCCACGCCGUAAACGAUGAUGACUAACCGUCGGCGAUAGACAGCCGGUGGCCAAGCGAAAGCGAUAAGUCAUCCACCUGGGGAGUACGUCGGCAACGAUGAAACUCAAAUGAAUUGGCGGG